ensembl:lncRNA
UCCACAAGUGGAGGGAUAGACAGUCCUCACUUUAAGGAUGAUAGGCUUUGAUUUCUGUGUUCUAAUGCGAGGAGGUAGAGGGUACAAGGACUUCAGACUCUGGCCAACCCUCCAUUCAGUGCAGUGGAGCAAGCUCUGCUGGAAUAUUCCUGAGACCACAAAACCAAGUUCCCCGGAGUGGAGCCUUGCUAGGGGUACCUUCGACUUCAGAAAUGAUGUCAGGCUCCUCUGCAGAACCUAGGGACUCUCCUCCUGUCCUGUGGGGCCCAGGAAUGGUCAAAAGUGGGCCUGGAAAUACUCUGCUCUAAGUCAAGUGCUCCUCUGGCUUUCUGCCCAGAGCUCUUCUCAGUGGAUCACUGGGAUCAAAGAGAUCAACUAGCCUUUGCAAAGGGGCGUGCAUGGGAACUCCUCACCAGAGGGUCAGCUCUUCCCUGAGACUACCACCUCCUAAAGAGGAUAAAUCCCUCCUUAAAGGGGUCCCUGCACUUCUCUAAUGGAUGGAAUUGUCUGUCUCCUUAGGGUAUCCCAGAUUUCUGAAUGGUGUUCCUGUGUACCAAAGCUUUCAUCCUGGUUAAUCUGAAAGAAGGGUCCUCUGAGUUCCAGUCACUUCUUGCAGUGAUGUCCUGUCCUUCAUCAGGAAGUCUGCUGGCCUACGAGCUGACUAGCUGUCGCAGGGGUCGGCUCAUGUUGUGCCCUUCUCUUACCAGCCUGCAUACUAUAUGCGUUGAAUCCUGGAAUCUAGAUACGCUUUCUCCCCUUUAGGGUCCUCACUGAAGAUGGAAUCUAUGUUGGAUGACUACUCACAGGUGUGGGCAGGGCUGAGGGAGCCAACGAAAGAUGGCAUUCCUCUGCUAGAAUCCCAGGAAUUCAUUACAGCACUCCCUCUCGCAGAACUGAAAGGGCAGAGGACAUAACCAGUGCUCAUGGGUCCUGAUCGUGGGCUGUAGCCAAGGAAGCUGAUGUGCCAAAGGGAUGCAGCCACUGGCUGGAGGAAGAAGACUAAAUACCCCCACCUCUGUCCUCUGUCACCUGAGGGUAACUGUCAUGGAUUACAUCAACCGGUCCUUUUGCGCUCUACCUUCCGGGUGACUACAAACAGCUGAUCCUCUGAGAGCGUGGAACAGGGUGGAGAAUGUUCGCAGUGGACUAUAGAGGCAAAGCAAAUCAGCACACCCACUCGUAUCCGACCAUCAGCCUACCUCUCGGCCUAUGUUCCACUUUAAUGAGGAUUGACAGUUUCUGGUACCUAGAAUGAUGUGUACGGUCCUGUCCACCACUGGGGCCCUCUGCCCUGGGGUGGCUCCUUCAUAUUUGGAGCCUUUUCAAUGUUUGUUGUGGUUCUCCUGCCUGACCUAUUCCUAGGAGACUCUCUCCAUGAUGCUCCCAGUACAGCUGUCCUUUCUGAUCUUGCCACUAUUGCUGCCGUCAUAGGGAUCCUCACUCUGCCAUUCAUGCUUCUCUCAGGUUCUCAUUGAUGCUGCUCUUGCUGCUGCCAUUGCCGUCAAUUCCACACCUGUCAUCCCUGCCAACAAUGGAGAGUGAAAAUGUUAAGUGCGUAGUAAGUUUUGCAGUGAGAAUAUUCCUGGUUCUUAAUUUUCAUCGGAACGUAGUUCUUUGGCUGUGGUUCUCUGUGCAAUGAAAGCCAUAUGCAAGAGGGUGAAACUCAUCCAUGGCUCAAAAGGCUGGCGAGGAUGUGAGGACCUGGACUCUCAACCCUGGAGCGGCCUCUUCAUGAACUGUAACAGGAAUUAUCUAGCAUCUUGGAAAUGCUCGCAAUCCCUGUAGCACGGUCUAGUCUGGGUGAGGCAGAUUUCGGUGCUGUCGACAUCCCCUGGGGUCUCUUGGCCAUUUUCACACCCACUGGCUCCUGAAGCACUUUCCUACCAGCCAGCACCUGUGUCUUACCACUGACAGACAGACCUCAGUCUACUUUGUGUGCAUGCGUGGGAAACUAGAAAUGCCUUAACCCAGGACUGGCUGCAGGGGUAUAUAUACUCCAGCUUCCUUGCCACCAUGAAGCCGACUUCAGUGGUGAUUGAUGCAAUCUCCAGAACUGGCCUGUAGAAUUGAGCCAGCUGCCCUCUGGGACCGGGCUUGAUCCAAAGGCCUCACAUGCUUUCUUGCCUUCCUGCUCCCACUUCCUUGCUUCCCUAUUUGGUGAAUCCUGAGACCCCUUGCAAAUAACUUUCACCCAAAUCUCACAGCAAACCCCAAGACAGCAGGCCACCCAGGCUGGCCACGUGGUCAUCUGGCUUGGUGUCCUGCACUGUGGAAAUUAACUCGGGUAGAUGCAACUAUGAAACUCAGUUUUCUGAAUUUUAAAAUGGGCUUAGCGCUCUCAAGAAAGAGGCAGUGAGGUGGGAUUCAAACCUGGAUUUAUCUAGAUCCAUAGUUAAGAGCAUUUACGUGGUAUCAAACAGCAUGUGUGACGGGGUUGAGAUGAAAAGGGAAGGGAGGACAGUGAGAAGAUGGCAGAAUUGCUGACUAGAAUGUCCAAUAAGCCUCAUUCCAAAUGGCCCCGGGCUGUAAUCCGCUCUGGGUCCUUAUGCUCAGCUCAUCUCCCAUCAGGCAGUGAAAAACCUAUAAAAUAAGUCAAAUGAACCAGGUGCGAUUUUCUGCAUGUAGGAAGAAAGAUCUUUAAAAGGAACACCAAUCUCCACAGGUAAGGAUGAUGUGCGUAAUUACAACUGGACACGAGUGCAUUCGCUCUGAAAAUUCUUAGAGCUCUAUACUUAUGAUUUGUGCACUUUUCUGUACAUAUGUGAUAAAAAAUUUAUGGUAAAGAAAAAAAUGUGGCUAUGUAAAUAUUCUGACUUAGUGGGAGUCCUGCCCACAAUCCUAUUAUCCUCCUCUUGCUCGAAUAGGAUCCAGGACUCAUCACGAUCGUGGAGAGGGAGUCAGACCUCACAUGCCUGCUCCUCAUGCCACUGCCCCAGGUUUUCCAGCCGCUUUUCCCUCUUCCCAGCACAGCUGACUUAGGGCAGAAAUGAGGGGCUGCAGAGGAGAAUGUCGGUUCCUGCCCUAAAUAAGUAGCUUGGCUUCUGUCCUUGCCCAUCUACUUGGCAAACUCCCCCAACUUCUAAAUCUCUUCCCUGAAGAACUCCGUGGUCCCCCAGCUGAGGAGGGGAGGCUGUCAUUUCUCUGAAACCACCUUCCUCCCAGGCACCCAGAUGCGGAGGCUGAGAACUGAGCCAGGCGUCUGUUAGUAAGGCCGUAAAUCAGGAGGCCCCACACGGGGUCAGGCCUGGUCAGAUUGCUGAUGGCAUUAGGGUAACGAAUGGGGAGUGGGGUGUUUAUGUUAGUCUUGGCUCUCGAGUUGAAGGAAGAAUGCCGGGAUUUAGCUUCGCGAUAAAGUCAGCACCAACACAUCCUGGGUCAGCAAUUAUGUUUUAAAGAUCCCUUGGGAGGAGCUGGGGUGGAACCUCCCUGGGGAAGUGUGGCCACCUGAGCAGGCUGCCCUGACGUGGGAGUUGAAUGAGGCGUGACACUGAUGGAGGGAGGCUGGGCUGAACGGGAGACUAGAGCUAAGACUGGGCAUAAGGCUGUUGUUGGUGUUGUACUGGAAAUGCGUGCACACAGACUUGUGUGCUGUGCCCCCAGCACUCUGCUUGUCUCCUUGGAGAGUGGAUCGGUUUGUGUUAGUAACUGUUUCCUGGAAGACCCGGAAGUUGGGAGUGAGAGCAGCUUAUAGGGAGGGUGGGUGACGCCAUAAAGGAGAGGAAGCAGAAGCAGGAAGGGAGAAUCUGAUUGUGAUGCAGACCUGAGAAGGUCUCAGCAAGCCCGCCGGGGGCUCUAGAGCAGACAGUCCAUUAGAGCAGUGUCACACUGGGCGGAAAUGGCGGGGCCUUAGCACCCCGCUCUACUCAACCGUUAGCUGGGGUUGCCUGGGAAGCCCACGGUGACAGCUGAAUGCUGUGAUGGACCCCCCAAGACGCCACAGCUAUGAGCUGUCCUACGACUAAACAAUCAGUUCUUUCUUGAAGGGGCUGCAAGCAAUGCACCUCCAGGGCUGCUCCAUGGAGACUGGCCUGCCCGCCCCCACUUCCCCUUCCAAGAAUUCAAGUGCUUUGGAGAAUCUGGCUGAUGCAUCCUGAUAAUGCACCCAAUUUAACCUGACGCUUGUAGAAUACGUGGUACCUGUACCUGUUUCAUAAAUAUCUGAGAUCCUAAUGGCAGGCAGGAUCCGAGGGGUGCCUUAACUGCCUACUCAAACCUCCUUUCGCUGCAUCCCCAUUUAAAGCUCUUCUAAAAGCCAAAAGUCAAAGGAUCUGGAGCUAUGUAUUUAAUAAAUUCAAUGUCUCCAAGCGUCUGCUUUGUUGAAGACCCUAAAAGCAUGAGCGAGAAGACGGGAAGGAGCUAACAUAGGUGCCUGCGGUUGAAGUUGCCCUCGAGUGACAAACGCCCAGUGCUUCCAGGCUGGCGCAGAGUGCCAGCUCAGUCCAAAGCUAACCAGGACAGGGAAAGUGCCAGGCAAAGAGGCGGAUGUUUGAGGCAGGCAGCUGACCUGCACUCAGGACAUCAGCAGAGUGGCAGGUUAUUUUCCAAAAGUGAUCACCACACUCUCUCUCAUCCGUUUUUGCCAAAUCCGAUCAAGAGAUGGGAUCCACAUCCUUGGCCCCGGAACUCAGACCCGCCUUUGUGACAGCCUUGGCUGAUAAAACACAGCAGAAACGACCCCGUUUUCCAAGACUAGAUCAUAAAAGGCAAUCUAGCUUCCACCAGGCACUCCUUCUUGGAAACUACAACCAUGCCGUAAGGAAGCCCAAGUGUCCCCGAGGAGAGGCCCACCUGGAAAGGAACCAACAGCCAGCACCAACUCUCCAGGCAUUUGAGUAGGGAGGAAGAGCCACUUCUAAGACGCUCAGUCAAGUUGCCCCAACAGAUGCCACAUGGAGCUGUCUGCCCACCCCCACGCAUGUCCACGCAGAUUGAUGGGCAAAAUCAACGAUGGCUGUUUAAGGCACUCAGUCUGAGCAAAAUAUAUAUGAUAUAAAGAGCAUUCCAGCUCUGAGAUCCCAACUGUGAUGUCUAGGGAAAGAAUACCUCAUUUUAUAGAUGGAUAAAGGUUCACAGAAGUCGCAUGCCUGAGGCCACAAGGCUAGAAGGGAGACAACUAAUCUUCAAGCCCAGAUCUGCCUGACCCUAAACCUUGGUAGUUUACCAUGCUACUGGUUUGAUUAUUGACUGUCUUCAUGAGCUUCCUCGAAACAGUCAGUCUAUCCCACAUUCAGCACAUGGAGAGUACUUAUUAGGCCUCUUGAGUGAGGAUUCCUAGGAUGUACAAGACGCGAAAGAGGUUCUCCCUCCAUGCGAAUUUCACAUCGCCGGGAGGAGGCACCGCCUUCCGCUCAGCCUAAGUUCCAGAUUUAGGGUUGCUGAGAAGACUGCGUGUGCUUCACAAAGUCAGAAGCACUUACUCCUCAUGACAGCUAGGGGAUGGGCAGGAAGUGCUUAGCUUCUAAGCCAUAGUUUUCUCUGCUGUAAAAUGGGGAUAAGGAGCUUGCCCAGGUCUACACAACCUGGAAGGACUAGGGAUUCAAAUCCUGGUCCUGAAUCCAUUGCUCUCCCCACACACCAGAGCUGCCCUCAAAGCCAAGUGGCAGAGACACGCCAAGGAGAGAAAUUUCCUUCCACCCUGGGCCUCAAGCACACCCGGCUCGGGUGGAAGGUGGGAGAAACUGAGCUGCAGUGUUGCCCACUGCACCCUUGGCCAACCCCAUGGGGAGCCCUGGAGCUAGAAUGACCCUUCAGAGGUGUCCUGAGAUGGCCUGGCCAGGCCUUUACACCUCUGCACAGCAUCCCCGAGCCCUGUGAGCAGCACACACGUUUGGCUGUAUCCAAGGACUUUGCCCGAGUAAGUGAAGAGCCUGGAGAGGAGCGAGGGCCAGCUGGUGAAACAUAAGAUGAUGUCAUGUGGUAGGGUCUUGGUGGAGGAGCUUCUUUAGAAAGCAUGCAAUGUCCCAAUGCAUCCCAGUGCAGCAACGACUGGAGUGGAUGUCCCGGGGAGAACAGAGCGACCUUCUCCCAGAGCCCUGGAGAGACAGGGACCUGCGCUGCAGCUGAUGAGGUCCACCUGCCUGUCUCCAGGCCUGAGGGCACCUUAAGCCAUCCCACGCAUGGACCUUGCCAGGCUCCCGGGAGAAGGCCCUUUCAGAGGUCUCGCAUCAGCUUGCCUUGAAGUCUAACACCUUCCUGGGCAGGAUGUGCCUUUAUUGCAAACUCCCCAACUGAUUUUUCUCAGAACCAAGCGCUUUGAUGGUUUUAUUGUCCCUAAAUUCACACCAGGCCCCAAUAACUUGAGGGCAGGUAGAGAAUGCAGAGUUGGGGGAGGGCGCGGGAAGUGAAUGGCCCAGGAUCAAGGCAGGAGAUUGCAACCUAUAAAUCUAUGGGGACCAGGCUCGCCUCUGAAGGGUUCCACGUGUGGGCUGGGGGUGGGUCCUGCAAUCUCCGGCCCAGAAUGCCAGCGCUAAGUGGAUCAAGGUGGUCUUCCACGCUCCAGAGCUCCUGAACACACCUGCUUUUGCUGCGGGGGACAUGGUUGGUCCACGCCACCAACAGCUGCUCUGCCCAGUGAUGACCAAUCCCGGGACCAAGUGUCACUGGAGACUUGAAUUGACCAGGCUUCGUAUUGGGUUCCACGUGUACCAGCUCAUGCUGGGACCAGCUUAGCUGACUUCCUGGCUCAGGGUCUCUCUGAGGGAUCCCAAACGAAGACACGAAUUUGGGUACAAGUUAGCUUUCCCUCCUUCUGUCACAUCUCCCCACUCCAUUAUGGUGUCUGGGAUGACCUCCCAAUUAAAGGGCUGUUAAUAAGGUAAUUACCCUGAGCAACUAGGGUUUCUCCUACUGGGAACCUCUCGAGAGACUCCUUAGAACAAACCUCAGGAUUGUUUUCUGUUGAGGGGGGUAGUUGGGGCUAUCAAACCACCAAGCCCUGCCUCAUUGGCAGUGAGGGUCACUCUGGGUGUAACUUCUCAGCACUUCUGGAUUGUAUGAUUAGAGCAUGCUCCUGUGGCCAGAGAAGUCCACGGGCAGAGAGGUGCAGAUGCCUUUGAGGUGGAGGGCCAUAGCAUGAAGGCCAUGUGUCAGGAGCCGUCCACUGAAGAUACUGGGGUACUUCCGGGUGGGCC